UACGGAGGGGGCGAGCGUUGUUCGGAUUCAUUGGGCGUAAAGGGUGCGUAGGCGGCGCGGUAAGUCGGGUGUGAAAUCUCGGGGCUUAACUCCGAAACUGCAUUCGAUACUGCCGUGCUUGAGGACUGGAGAGGAGACUGGAAUUUACGGUGUAGCGGUGAAAUGCGUAGAUAUCGUAAGGAAGACCAGUGGCGAAGGCGGGUCUCUGGACAGUUCCUGACGCUGAGGCACGAAGGUCAGGGGAGCAAACGGG
rnacentral:rRNA from 1 species